rnacentral:rRNA from 1 species
GGUUGGCGAGGUUAAGCCGUUGCAGGUGUAGCCGUAGGGAAACCGAGUCUGAAUAGGGCGUUAGUCGCAUGCUGUAGACCCGAAACGGGAUGAGCUAUCCAUGGGCAGGUUGAAGCGAGGGUAAAACUUCGUGGAGGACCGAACACUUGAAGGUUGAAAACUUCUGUGAUGACCUGUGGAUAGGGGUGAAAGGCCAAUCAAAUUCCGUGAUAGCUGGUUCUCUCCGAAAUGCAUUUAGGUGCAGCGUUUAACGAUUACUACCGGGGGUACAGCACUGACUAAGCUAGGGGCGUUACCGCGCUACCAAACUUUAUCAAACUCUGAAUACCGGUAAGUACAGUUACUGCAGUGAGACUGCGGAUGCUAAGGUCCGUAGUCAAAAGGGAAAGAGCCCAGAUCAUCAGCUAAGGUCCCUAAAUUGACGCUAAGUGGAGAACGUUGUGGAACUACUGUGACAGUCCAGGAGGUUGGGCUUAGAAGCCAGCCAUCCUUUAAAGAAAGCGUAAUAGCUCACUGGACUAGUGGUUCUCGCGCGGAAAAUCGUAACGGGUCGACGCGGCCG